CAGAUUUGAAAUCGUGUUUCGGCACGAGUUGUAGAGUGUAGGCGGGAGUCUCUGUGGAGCGCGGUGUCCAAGUCCCUUGGAACAGGGUGCCUGAGAGGGUGAGAGCCCCGUAGGGUGCUGCGCGAAGCUUUUGAGGCCCUGCUGACGAGUCGAGUUGUUUGGGAAUGCAGCUCCAAGCGGGUGGUAAAUUCCAUCUAAGGCUAAAUAUUGGCGAGAGACCGAUAGCGAACAAGUACUGUGAAGGAAAGAUGAAAAGCACUUUGAAAAGAGAGUGAAACAGCACGUGAAAUUGUUGAAAGGGAAGGGUAUUGGGCUCGACAUGGGGGGUGCGCACCGCUGUCUCUUGUAGGCGGCGCUCUGGGCGCCCUCUGGGCCAGCAUCGGUUCCUGCUGCGGGAGAAGGGGCUCCGGAAAGUGGCUCUUCGGAGUGUUAUAGCCGGGGCCAGAUGCCGCGUGUGGGGACCGAGGACUGCGGCUUCUGUCUCGGAUGCUGGCAUAACGGCGCAAUACCGCCCGUCUUG
rnacentral:rRNA from 1 species